rnacentral:rRNA from 1 species
UUGCUUCUUUGCUGGCGACCGGCGCACGGGUGAGUAACACGUAUCCAACCUACCCUUUACUCGGGGAUAGCCUUUCGAAAGAAAGAUUAAUACCCGAUAGCAUAAUGAUUCCGCAUGGUUUCAUUAUUAAAGGAUUCCGGUAAAGGAUGGGGAUGCGUUCCAUUAGGUUGUUGGUGAGGUAACGGCUCACCAAGCCUUCGAUGGAUAGGGGUUCUGAGAGGAAGGUCCCCCACAUUGGAACUGAGACACGGUCCAAACUCCUACGGGAGGCAGCAUG